UGAGGAAUAUUGCACAAUGGGGGCAACCCUGAUGCAGCAACGCCGCGUGGAGGAUGAAGGCUUUUGGGUUGUAAACUCCUUUUCUGCGGGAAGAGAGAGGACGGUACCGCAGGAAUAAGUCACGGCUAACUACGUGCCAGCAGCCGCGGUAAUACGUAGGUGGCGAGCGUUAUCCGGAAUUACUGGGCGUAAAGCGCACGCAGGCGGCUAGGAAAGUCUGACGUGAAAGCUCCCGGCUUAACUGGGAGAGGUCGUUGGAAACUGGUUAGCUUGAGGCAAUGAGAGGGGUGCGGAAUUCCCGGUGUAGUGGUGGAAUGCGUAGAGAUCGGGGGGAACACCAGUGGCGAAAGCGGCACCCUGGCAUUGACCUGACGCUCAGGUGCGAAAGCGUGGGGAGCGAACGGGAUUAGAUACCCCCGUAGUCC
rnacentral:rRNA from 1 species